ACUGAUAAAGCCGACUGAACUUUGGUUCGUGCUGGUUGGUCAUGUCUGCCUGCCUGCCUGCCCAGCUGCCCUGGAAGCUAAGAUCAUGACGACACACAGCACUCCGCAUGCAAAUGGAAUGAAACCCGGUAUCUCGUCAACGUACCACCUAUUUGCAAAUCAAAUGAUACUCGUCUUGAAACGCAAGCGAGGGCGGCGAGAGAAGAUGCGAUGCAACUAGCGCAAGUGCGGUCGGAAUCCGUCAGAUCGGGUAUCCUUCCGGGAUCCAUCGGCAUGAUUGAUCUGGAGAACGGUUGCGCUCGGCCCGAUCAUAUAUGGCGCGCCUGCAUGCUUGCUUAGAUAUGCGUGCCAGUGCCAUUGCCAGUGCCAGUGCAAGCGCCAGUGAGAUCACAUUAGGCAUCAUUAGCUCGCGCGCGCCGGCCGGAGACGAUGUCGACGGCGGCGGAGCUGGCAUGGCGCUUUGCGGCCGCACAGCUCCUGCUGUUGGUACCGGCGGCCGUCGGCGGCGUCGCCUACCUCCUCCUCCGCGCUCUACGUGCCUCCCAGCUCCGGCAGGAAGGCGACAGCCCGCCGCCGGGGGGCGUCGGCGGCUGGUGCCGGGGCGCGGUCGGGGCGGAGACGCUCUCCUUCCUGGCGGACAACAGCAGCGGCAGGGGCUUCUACCACUUCGUCCACGCGCGCGCGCUCCGGCACGGCGCCUGCUUCCGGACCGUGCUCUUCGGCCGCACCCACGUCUUCCUCCUCUCCGCCCGCGCGCGCGCCGCCGCCGCGCGCCUCCUGGCCGCCGACCCGCCGCACUUCGCCAAGCGCUACGUGCGCACCGUCGCCGACCUGCUCGGCGAGCACAGCCUCCUCUGCACCUCCCACGGCGCGCACCGCCGCAUGCGCCGCGCCGUCGCGGGCCUCUUCGCCUCCGCGCCCACGGCCGCCUUCGCCGCCGCAUUCGACCGCCUGAUCACCGCCCGGCUGCUCGCCGACGGCUGCCAGGGCCGGGCCGUCGUGCUGGACGCCGCGCUCGACGUCACCUUCGGGGCCAUCUGCGAGAUGCUCAUCGGACCACAGGAGGAUGCACAUAAGCUGGAGCAGCUGCAGAGCGACGUCAUGGACGUAACGCAGGCCAUGCUCGCGCUGCCAAUCAGGCUGCCUGGAACAAGGUUCUACAGAGGCCUACAGGCAAGGAAAAGGAUCAUGGAUGUACUGAGGCAAGAAAUAUCCAUGAGGAGAGAAAAAGGCCUGAAACUAGAUCACCGCGACGACUUUCUGCAGUCCCUUCUUCUCAAGAGCCAUAUGGAUUCACCUGAAGAAGCGCUCACGGAUGAACAGAUUCUGGACAACAUUUUGACACUCAUAAUUGCAGGGCAAGUGACAACAGCAACAGCAAUUACAUGGAUGGUCAAGUACCUGGGCGACAACACAGACCUCCAAGAGAAAUUAAGAUCGGUUCAGCUGGAUCUGGCAUCCAAGCACCAUGAUGCACCUCUUACCCUACAACAUCUAAACACCAUGGACUAUGCAUACAAGAUAGUCAAAGAAUCCUUGAGGAUGGCCACCAUAGUUUCUUGGUUUCCAAGGGUGGCACUCAAGGACUGCCAGGUUGCAGGGUUCCACAUUAAGAAGGACUGGAUCGUGAAUGUCGACGCGAGAUCCAUACACUAUGAUCCAGCCAUCUAUGACAAUCCGACGGUGUUUGAUCCUUCCAGGUUCAAUGAUGAUAUGAAGCCAUACAGCUUCUUGGUAUUUGGAGCAGGCAGCAGAACAUGCCUGGGGAUGAACCUUGCCAAGAUUAUGAUGCUAAUAUUCCUUCAUCGCCUUGUCACGAAUUUCAGAUGGGAGAUGGCAGACCACGAUUCAAGCCUCGAGAAAUGGGCAAUGUUUCCGAGGCUGAAGAAUGGCUGUCCAAUUCGGCUCACGCCGAUACACGCAAGGACAAGAUGCACUGAUGACUGAUGCACAUCUAGUAAACCUGUCAGGAUAUGCAUCCAAUUAUGAAGCUAUGCGAUUUUCCUUAGUUGUUACAUACUCCAACAGACUAAACAAAUUCUUGAUUCCUUUUUCUGGGUGAGCCAAGAUCAAGCCUAGCUAGCUGACAGUUUCAAAAUAAAGUCAAAUAAAAGAAAGGGACAAUGAAGAGCUGCUGGUCUUUGUGAUA